GAGAGCUUGCUCUCCUGAUUAGUGGCGCACGGGUGAGUAUACCAUAGAUAAUGUACCUCUUAGUUCGGGAUAGCCACUGGAAACGGUGAUUAAUACCGGAUACUCCUUCUUGUCUCAAGGCAAGUCGGGAAAGUUUUUUCGCUAAGAGAUCAGUCUAUGUCCUAUCAGCUAGUUGGUGAGGUAAUGGCUCACCAAGGCUAUGACGGGUAUCUGGUUUGAGAGGAUGAUCAGACACACUGGAACUGAGACACGGUCCAGACUCCUACGGGAGGCAGCAGUGAGGAAUAUUGCACAAUGGAGGAAACUCUGAUGCAGCAACGCCGCGUGGAGGAUGACGCAUUUCGGUGUGUAAACUCCUUUUAAGAGGGAAGAUAAUGACGGUACCUCUUGAAUAAGCACCGGCUAACUCCGUGCCAGCAGCCGCGGUAAUACGGAGGGUGCAAGCGUUACUCGGAAUCACUGGGCGUAAAGGGUGCGUAGGCUGGCUUUUAAGUCAGAUGUGAAAUCCAAUGGCUUAACCAUUGAACUGCAUUUGAAACUGGGAGCCUAGAGUUCAGAAGGGGCAGAUGGAAUUAGUGGUGUAGGGGUAAAAUCCGUAGAUAUCACUAGGAAUAUCAAAAGCGAAGGCGA
rnacentral:rRNA from 1 species